GGCCCAAACCCUUACUUGUUCUGGCCUGUCCCUCUGGGUUUUGUCUCCGGGGGUCUCUCAGGGCAAGAGAAAGAAAAGCGGUUCGUCAGG